rnacentral:rRNA from 1 species
GUUGGGUAACACUAACUGGAGGACCGAACCGACUAAUGUUGAAAAAUUAGCGGAUGACUUGUGGCUGGGGGUGAAAGGCCAAUCAAACCGGGAGAUAGCUGGUUCUCCCCGAAAGCUAUUUAGGUAGCGCCUCGUGAAUUCAUCUCCGGGGGUAGAGCACUGUUUCGGCAAGGGGGUCAUCCCGACUUACCAACCCGAUGCAAACUGCGAAUACCGGAGAAUGUUAUCACGGGAGACACACGGCGGGUGCUAACGUCCGUCGUGAAGAGGGAAACAACCCAGACCGCCAGCUAAGGUCCCAAAGUCAUGGUUAAGUGGGAAACGAUGUGGGAAGGCCCAGACAGCCAGGAUGUUGGCUUAGAAGCAGCCAUCAUUUAAAGAAAGCGUAAUAGCUCACUGGUCGAGUCGGCCUGCGCGGAAGAUGUAACGGGGCUAAACCAUGCACCGAAGCUGCGGCAGCGACACUAUGUGUUGUUGGGUAGGGGAGCGUUCUGUAAGCCUGUGAAGGUGGCCUGUGAGGGUUGCUGGAGGUAUCAGAAGUGCGAAUGCUGACAUAAGUAACGAUAAAGCGGGUGAAAAGCCCGCUCGCCGGAAGACCAAGGGUUCCUGUCCAACGUUAAUCGGGGCAGGGUGAGUCGACCCCUAAGGCGAGGCCGAAAGGCGUAGUCGAUGGGAAACAGGUUAAUAUUCCUGUACUUGGUGUUACUGCGAAGGGGGGACGGAGAAGGCUAUGUUGGCCGGGCGACGGUUGUCCCGGUUUAAGCGUGUAGGCUGGUUUUCCAGGCAAAUCCGGAAAACCAAGGCUGAGGCGUGAUGA